AAUGAACGCUGGCGGCGUGCUUAACACAUGCAAGUCGAGCGAGGCCAGGGGGGCAACUCCCUGAGUCGAGCGGCGGACGGGUGAGUAACACGUGGGUAACCUACCCGGAAGUGGGGAAUACCUCGGGGAAACUCGAGCUAAUACCGGAUACGUUCCUCGGGUCGCAAGACUUGGGGAGGAAAGGUAGCGCAAGCUGCCGCUCUUGGAGGGGCUCGCGGCCUAUCAGCUAGUUGGGGAGGGAACGGCUCACCAAGGCGACGACGGGUAGCUGGUCUGAGAGGACGACCAGCCACACGGGGACUGAGACACGGCCCCGACUCCUACGGGAGGCAGCAGUGGGGAAUUUUCCGCAAUGGGCGAAAGCCUGACGGAGUGACGCCGCGUGGGGGACGAAGGCCUUCGGGUCGUAAACCCCUGUCAGAGGGAAAGAAGGGUUCGGGCGUGAAUAGCGCUCGGAUCUGACGGUACCUUCAGAGGAAGCCCCGGCCAACUCUGUGCCAGCCGCCGCAGUAACAC
rnacentral:rRNA from 1 species